GACGAACGCUGGCGGCGUGCUUAACACAUGCAAGUCGAACGGAAAGGCCCUGCUUUUGUGGGGGGCUCGAGUGGCGAACGGGUGAGUAACACGUGAGUAACCUGCCCUUGACUUUGGGAUAACUUCAGGAAACUGGGGCUAAUACCGGAUAGGAGCUCCUGCUGCAUGGUGGGGGUUGGAAAGUUUCGGCGGUUGGGGAUGGACUCGCGGCUUAUCAGCUUGUUGGUGGGGUAGUGGCUUACCAAGGCUUUGACGGGUAGCCGGCCUGAGAGGGUGACCGGCGACAUUGGGCCUGAGAUACGGCCCAGACGCCUACGGGAGGCAGCAGUGGGGAAUAUUGCACAAUGGGCGGAAGCCUGAUGCAGCAACGCCGCGUGCGGGAUGACGGCCUUCGGGUUGUAAACCGCUUUCGCCUGUGACGAAGCGUGAGUGACGGUAAUGGGUAAAGAAGCACCGGCUAACUACGUG
rnacentral:rRNA from 1 species